rnacentral:rRNA from 1 species
GGUAGUAAUUAAACCAACAUGUGCUGGCGGUCUUUAUAUAUUAGAGAAACUCGCUUUAUAAUCGUAAACACCCGAUAAGUUUCACUUUUUAAUUAGUUUAUAUACCGCCGUUUCAGGGUUGAUCAAUUUUUAAAGCCCUUAAUAUACUAUCAUAAAAAAUCAGGUCAAGGUGUAACCCAUAAAAAAGAAAAAGUAAGUUACAUUAAAAACAAUUUAAGGAUCUUAUAUAAAAAUCAUAAAUAAAAAAGAAUUUAUACGUAAGUAUUAGUUAAAACCUAAUUCCGAACCAAAUAUUAGAGAUGC